AAAAUAUGUUUAUUUGUUCCACUAAAACUCUUUAGCUUAUUGAUCUACUCACAUGUUAAAGUUGUUAAAGGCUACACAGAUAUAAAUGUGUACAUUUCAACUUUGGGGAAGGCAAACACAAAGGUACUUUUUUUUCUGAAAAAUGAAACUGAUUUCCACUGCACAUAGCUGAAAUACUCUGCUGAGAAUUCAGACUCUCAAGAAAAUGGAAAACAGGUGGAAAGAGACCUCCUGCUUUAGGUAAGAAAUAGAGCCAAUGAGGAACCUGAAGGUGAGGAUUUCUUGGCUGCUUGAACACAAUUGUAUGGUUUCAUGUCCCAUGCCUUGUGGUCACAUGUAGGAGGGAGAACAAAGUAGAAGCACUCUUAUGAAGGGAUGGCCCUGCAGUAAACAACCCUAGGGAACACCCGAAUCACUAGUGUAAUCCAGGGAAGGUCAGGGUAGAGGCAUACCACAGCUGGACAAGUAAUAUUUGAGGAGCAUCCUGGAGCGCUCAGUUAAAUUGAAGACUACAGUGAAAUCCCUCUUUUUCUCUGAUACCAGGCUCAAUCUUCCUGGUUCGUAAUCACUGAUUAUGAAGCCUUGCUGCAUCUCAAACUGGACUGAUUUUUGUGCCAAAUGCAUAAAUGAAAUGGGAGCUUUCAAAAGAGUGAAAGAGUAUCAACCACAGAUCAGCAAAACAAAAGAACAAAGAAACAACAACAAAAAAACCCAACAAACAUUACAUUCCCCUUUUCUCUAAAUUGAAACUCCUUUACAAAAGGUACACUGAAGGCCCUUGACAUUUGACCUCCACCCUGUUGGUCAACACUAAAACAUUUAGUUAUUAACCCAAAGCCUGGAGAUUUUUCAGGCCCCAGACUUUUUACUGAGCUGGCAGCACAGAGAUUAAUGAUUUGCACAGGCUCACCCCACGGUGCCUGGCAGCUGGGACACAGCCACCAUGGCCUUUACUUCCGACAGAGAUAAGGCCAGGGCUCUGGAAGACAACGAGAUGGGAGAGAGGGCAGACUCAAAAGGAGGCCAGCAUCCCUAGCUGCAAAUACAAAGGACAACCUAUCAUGAAAGCUGAAGUCCCCCAGGAGCAGGAUGAUGGUAUCUUCUAAACUUGGAAUGUGCAUCAAGCACUAAUGAGCCAUAAUAAUACAUAUUUUGCAUAUUUUCCUUGGAUUUAUUUCUUAUGCAUGCCUGUAUACUUUAAAAUAAGAUGCUGAUAUGAAAAAUGAAUCCACAUUGAAGGUUCAAGACAUCCAUAUUAUUCACAGCACCUCUGUGCUGCUAAACUUUUCAGAAGAUAUCAGAAAUGAGAGAUGCCUUCUUGGACAUAUCUGUGAUAAGCUAAUGUCUAGAUCUAAAGUACCAUCAAAUAAAUAGUAUUGGUCAGAUGUCUAAAAUUCCAGCAUAACAAUAUAUAUGUGAAGCAGCUGUGCAAUGUUUGAUGUUAGCUAUGUACCAAAUUUAAUUAGAUAUUUCUAUUUCUAGAGUAAAAUUGAUAUAGACUGAGCAACUGGGAAGGAUUCUUUGUCAGUUAGAGCCUGGCUCUGCUUCUCAGCACACAAAGCAAGAAAACCAUCUGUGAAGGGGCUCUGAAACAUGGGAUCUAGCCAAAGAACAGCAGCUGGAGAUCAGGAAAUUGCUUGCCAUGGAAUACAGAGGCAACACUUGAAGACAUAGCUUUAAGUCUCAAAAUGUAAGAUAAAUUUAAGAAAGUGAAGGUCCGGACCAAAAAAAAAAAAAAAAAAAAAAGCCUAAUUUUGCAGAGAUGGCAGACUAAGGUAUGACAUACUCCUACUCAAAACAACUGUACAUUCUUUGACUUCUUCCUUCCUGAUGGCCAAGAUAAGAUUUAUUUAACAACUACAAAAAUAUAUGAAGACUGCUGUGGUUUAUCUUUUGACAGUUCAGCUGAGAUGUUCUGGACUAGGUGGAUGAAAGUUGGUCCCUAACAUUCUACUCUAAGUUUUAAAUUUACUGGAUAACCACAAGAAAAAACAACAGGUUAAUUUCACAUGCUUCAGUACCUUAAGAGCUUUUCUGUCUAUCUAGAAAUAUUCCUUUAUUUGUUUGAUUUAUAUAUUUGCAAAGUUCUUCUCCUUCGUUAAUUACAAAAGGCAACAAAGAGUAAAAGGAGAAAUCUUAAAAUAUACCUAAAUAAGAAAAGAUACAUAUCUUGGAAAAUAAGUAUAUCAGAUCAUAACAAUUUACUGAUUUUUUUUUUUUUUAAUUUUUAAUCUGCAUAAUGUAAUGAAAUUAAAUCCUUUGCUUUUCUUGGCACAAGACCCAUUGGAAAAAAUCACGUUAUAUGUUGAAGUGUUCUUUUAUUUUUUUUACAAGAUAUGAAACGGGAAGGGUGGAGGGGGGAACAAAAUUUCUUCAGAGGGAAUAGCAGAGCUUAAAAACUAAAGCCAAACAAAAAAGAUUUCCAGACCAGCAACAUCCUCUGGCUGUUUGAUAAAAAGCCUGAACAGCUACACAAGGUCAAAAUAGCGUGGUAGGAAGGGAUUUACUUUUUCUGCACAUAAAAUUGGAUUUUUAAGUUCAAGGUCUAGAUUUCUUUCUUUUACAUCUGCAGUACCUCUGGCAAAGAAAACAACCUGUUCUCUUUCACAUUUUAUAUUUAUAUGACCAUGAACAUACUAUUACGUUUCAAUAAACUCGUGUUUACAAGCAGGUAGUAAAAUGUUGAGAAAAUCAUGCUAAUAACUGUACAGAUAUCAGGUUCUGUUUUAAAUCUUUAGUUAUUACAGCUUGCUGUGGAAACACAGCAGUUUAAGCACUGAGUAUUAAAGAGUUUGUGGAGUGCUAUAAAUUUCAGAUGCAUUUAUGUUAUAUGGUACUGUGCAAAUCAUAAUCUGAAAGUCAGUUUCAUUUGUGCAAUGUGUGCUUUAAUAGAAGAAAAACAGUUCAAGCAUGUGUGCUUUCCAUUUUUACAAGGAUCUUAAAAGAUUAUUUAAGUUGAAGGAAAAGCAGCUUCGAAUGAAAUUUGAGCUACUACCUGAAGAAAAGAUGGCAAGGAAUAACUGAAAUGAUAAAGCACUUAGUAAAAUUCUAACUUUCUCUGUUUUAUGAGCAAUUAAAAAUUUUCUCUAACAUUCCAUUGAGGGGCAGGGAAGACGACAAAAUUACCUUAUGAGCAAUUCUAUCAUGCAAAUCACUUAAUCUGAUUCCGUGUUAUGGUUUGAUUCCAGUCAGUUCUCAACUACUGAUUAUUUUGAUACAUAACUACAUUAACAAGCAGGACAGCUUUGUUCCUUGGGCUGCGUGGAAGUGGAGCAUCUUUCUUGGUUUGCCCACAAAUAAGGAAAAAACAGAAAGGGAAAAAAAAAAAAAAAGGAAAAGGAAAAAGUGCAAAUGGGAAAAGAAGCAAACGCAGCGUAACAGUGCAAAGCUGUAACAGUCCUGGAGGAAACUCUCCAGAGAAAACAAACAAGUGGGCAGUACAGAAUGAGGGAACGCAAAACACCCUCAGUCACAGAGAUUUGAGAAGACAUAUUCUAUUCUAUUCUAUUCUAUUCUAUUCUAUUCUAUUCUAUUCUAUUCUAUUCUAACCCCAACACAGGGUUCUGCUGACCUUAGGAGGCUGCAAAGCAUUAGCAGUUUGGGGGUGCCUGCCAUAGUUUAUAUUACUGUGUUGCUAAAGUUUACCAGAACUAAAUGCUGGCAAACAUAUCCAUCAUAACCGUACGCAAUGUUACUGUGAGCAAUUGCAGUUGUAUCUUGCAGUGCUCAUGUCAUUAAAAGACUGCUGCCAUAGGUACACAUUUACCUAAUCACAGUCACUUUCUUCCCAGGAUAAUGCCACUCUUGAGCAUCUUUUUGCAAAUUUCUACUUGUAUUGGAAGUUCUUCAGCUAGCAAUUUCAAGAAAAAAGAAACCUGUUUAUAUUCAUCAUCUUCAGUAAUUUGUAAAAGGACCUACUUUCACCUGGACCUUGAAUGUUGCCUUAGUUACAGAAGAUGGCCAAAAUAAGAGAAUCUAAAAUAAAAUAUAGGUUGGAAAACUUCAGAGGGAAGCUGAUUUAUUUCUUUUUAAAUAGUGUCUAUGUCUCUUAAAUAAGAAAGAAUAACACAGCACUCACAGUAGAGACCAGUCUUACUGUUAGGUCUGGAAUAGGACACAGAAAUAUUUAUUUUGUCCUGUACAAGACUUCUGGUGAUUGGGGAUUAAGAGAUAAAUUCUAUCCAAAUACACUGUAGAAGUUAAUACCCUCCCCACGUUCCUUGCCACAGCCUACCAUCAUCACAAGAGUCAGGAGAAACUGUUAGUAACAGAGAAUCUGAGCUAAGACAAUACACAUGUUGUCUCCUGCUAAUAUUGCUGGGAGGCAGCAAUCUCUUGAGAAAGAAUACAGAUCUGGGUUUUAAAACCUAAGCUACAAUAACAAGAGCUGCCGGUGGUUGUAAAUAGCAGCAAGUAAACAUAGUGAUUCAAGAGUCAUUCUGUACUAGUAAAUGAGUAUUAAAUACAUUAAAUACACUGUAUUAUAUGAAUAACUGUAUGUUAGUCUAAAUAUAUGGCAUUAAUUUAACAAAGGAUUAGUUCCCACGAGUAGAAAAGAAUGCAACACCUUCAGAUAACUACCUAUCUAGCAACACUUGAGAGGCAAUACAAGGAUUGACCUCUUGUUGAACUCACCAGCCCACGUCAAAGAGGAAAGUCAUAGAGAAAAUGGGAAGGACAAAGGAUCUGAAACUGUUUUAAAACUCUAAAAGCACUUACUCUUCAGAAAUUGCACUCAGAUAAAUAAGAUGCCUUAUUUUUUAUAAAGAAAUCAAAAUUCCUAGGUUCCAAGAAAAGGGGGAAAGACACAAGUAAAAUAAUUAUCAACAUAGUUAUUUCAUCUGUUAUAAGCUACACUUUGUGGACUGUGGUCCCGCUAUUAAACAGUACUUUGAAAAGCCCUCCUGAUCACCAUUUUUGUCACUGGUCACAAAGCAGCAGGAGUUUGAACUGAUCCAGGGAUUUCACAAAACAAAUUGUCAUGGGAAUUACAAGUGGAAUUGCAUUCCGCUUCAGAAUCGGAGAUAGCUCAGACCUGAUCCCUACUGAGGUGUGAUCAAAAAAAGCAACACAAGAAAAUAUAUCCCUGUAGUCAAAAUGACAAGUCAAUAAAUACUGUUUUGAUAGUGCAUUCUUGUUAGUACUACAACAGUUAAAAUUGCUUGUCAGAACAUCCUGCACUACACAUGGUAACAUUCCUCAUGUUUGCUUUAACCUGAAGACUAGGGCUGGUCAUGGUCUUCAUACUAGAGUUAUCAUUGUUCUGUGUAUUCUGGGAGAUACAUAGAGUAUCACAUUUUUCCAUAAUGUACUUGGUACGUUGCUCUUUGAAAAUCAUCUAGAAAGCAUAAAACUAUUCCUGUGUUCUCAAGCAAAUGUAUCACUCCAGCAAUAGUAAAUAACACAACACAUAGCUCAGGGAAUUCAAUUUCAAUUGGAUUCAAUCUCCUAAUUAUUUUGCAUAAUUUCUUGAUGUGAAACUUCAAUACAAGUAGUCAGGGACCUUAAAAUCUUUGUAGUAAGUAGCAGGGUUAUAAGUCUCAUGUGGUUAUUUCUAGUAUUCUUUGAGAAAGAAAGAAAGAAAGAAAGAAAGAAAGAAAGAAAGAAAGAAAGAAAGAAAGAAAGAAAGAAAGAAAGAAAGAAAGAAAGAAAGAAGAAAGAAAGAAAGAAAGAAGAAAGAAAGAAAGAAAGAAAGAAAGAAAGAAAGAAAGAAAGAAAGAAAGAAAGAAAGAAAGAAAGAAAGAAAGAAAGAAAGAAAGAAAGAAAGAAAGAAAGAAAGAAAGAAAGAAAGAAAGAAAGAAAGAAAGAAAGAAAGAAAGAAAGAAAGAAAGAAAGAAAUAUCACCAUGACAGGCGAGCUAAAGUAUUUGACAUAGCAUUAUAUCUGACCAAAAUCCAACCACAUUUCUAGCUACUGAUCAAGAAGAAAUUCUAUUCUCCUCUGCUUCACAGACAUAUAAUAUUUAUAAUAUAAUGAUAUAUAAUAGUCAUCAUCUAUUUUAGAUUGUUUUUAUAUGGGUAACAGAUAUUAGAAUGCAGCCACUACUUCAAUUCAAACUAAGUCAUGGUAUCUCUGCCUGCGGUAAAAUGCAACAUGCUUUAGGGUGCCAGGAGAGGAAUACCUAAAUUGAACAUUAGAUAUAACAGACUUUCAUAUCAUGUAAUUAAAAAUAUACUGUCAUUGUUUUUGGAGACGUUCUCCUGUUGGAUGCCUUUGUUUUAGAGUAUUUCUGGUAAUUAACACACUGUGACAGACCAUGGAAACUAGGCCAAAAUUUUUAAAAAAAUUCUCAUCCAGAGGCUUGGUGUUUAAAGUGGCUAGGCUUGACAACAAAAAGACUCCUUACCAGACUGCAGAUAAACAAGAGCAGACUUAGAAAUGCUUUUUUCUUUUCUCUCAUCCAGCAGUGAUCUAACUCCCAGCACUCAGUGCACAGUAGAAACUCACUUUCUCCUUUCCCAGGAGAGACUUUGUUUUUUCUCUUUGUUCAACACAUGAAAAAAAAUAAAAAAUCAGGAAGAAAUUUCUUUUAGUUCUAUUUCAGCUGUGGUUGGUCCAGUAGGAAAAUUAACCAACACGCUUGUAAAAGCUGUAAAAACUCCCCUGAUCAACAUAGGGAAGUUAGGCUGUAGUCAUGCCUAUACCUAGCAUCAUUUCUGCUUAUCCAACGAGAGCUUAAUGCAAGAGGCAGUAGAAUGCAACAGGAAACAGAUUGCCUGUUUUCUAUAAGAAUUUUCCUCCUGCUAGGACAGCACAUGAAGCCAUGCCCUUGGCCUAGAGUUUGUGUUCUUCUGCUGUGCUGCAGCCCCCUGAGCCACUAUGUAACCUCAGUGUAAGUCAUCAUUGUCCUUUUGCUUUUUUCAAGUGUAGUGAAUUUGGACAAUCAGAUACUCCUGACAAUACCCAGAACUCCUUCUUCUUCAAUCGUAACCUGAUCUGAGAAGUAUCAGAACAGUCUGGGAGUUCUGGAAGUGUAUGGUUGGGAGAAAAUUCCAGAAUUGCCUCACCUGAAAUAUGGCUAAAAUGCAAAGUUUUCUGACUAAAGUAAAUUAUCUCAAGGUCAAAUAAGGGUCCUAAGAAAAGAGCCCCUUACACUCUCAAAGCCCACAGUAGUCUAUGAUGUCUCCUUGAGCUGGGAUACCUCUGAGGGUAGGCUUUUUUUUGAGGUGCCUUUUGAAGUAGAAGAGUCCUUUAUAGGAUAAUAUCCCAUCAUCCACUGAGGGCCAGUGACGAGGGGGGAGAGUAGUUCACCAAAUGGGAGAAGUUCCUUGCAUGCAUGACUAAGUUUAGAAAUCUCCCCUUAGAAUAUCUUGUGUGUUAAGUUUCAGGUGAACCUUGCUAUUCUUAAAACUUUAAGUCACUGUAUUUGAUUGUAGUAAGCUCCAUUGAAUCAUUCUGUUAAAAUAGCUAUUGAUUGAGUUCUGAUUAAGUGCUACUAAGAAUCAUACAAUUCUAACCCUGUGUCAUGGUUUUAUGAUUUUUGAUUACUGGUAUUCCACAUCAUAACAUCACAUAGUGCACUGGGAGUUAAAGAGUUAAUGUUCCAGUUCCAGGUGCCUGUCUGGAAGAGAAGAACUACAUACCCCAGGGGGCUUUGCAGUCAGAGAGGAGAUAUAACCUCUGGCAAGGUCACCUGAUGGCCCUUUUUUUUCCUUAGUCUCUCCUCCCUGUUGCUCAUCCUGACCGCACACAUCACCUCAGCACAACUGUAAGGCCUACAGCUUUCAGAUACUCUCUCAUUAUAUUUGAUUUAUUUGCUUCAGUUCUAAUUAUAUUGUAUUAUAGUGUGUUAUCUUGCAUUCCAAUACCUUAUUUAGAAAAUUAGCUUGUUUCUUCUCAGAUCGCUCAGAUCGUUGCUGCUGUUUUCAAUUAUUUUGGGGUCCCCUGUUUCCCUUUCCUGAAGGCAUGGAUUUUGCAAAAUCCCUCCACCCCACUAGUCACAGAACCGGGCUGAACCAGCCUGUAAACUGUUGACACCCUGUGAUAUACUGUAAAAGUAUUAAUAAACCCAAAAUCACUGCUAAAACUAGAAUUAUGUUCAAUCAAUCCACCACACCUGGAAAGCCAAAAUAUACAUACAUUUUAAAUUAAAUCCUUUGAGAAUGAAGAAAGAAUUGAACCUGGCUUUCAGUAUAUAAGAUACAGAUGAGUACAGUAGAAUUAUUCUAUUACAUUGCUUUGUGAAGAACCCAGAUGGAGAGGCGUAUACUCAUUAUUCUCUGAGAACACCAGUAGAUAGGCAUGGACUAUAGACAUGGAUAUGCUUUUCUCCUGGACCCCAGGUACCAAUAUUUCUUACCUGAAAAGAACCAAUGCUAUUCAGGAAACUUUUCAGUGAAACUGAGAUUGUGUGAUGAAGAGAUUGAAAGGUUUGGUCCAGGUUAGCAAUAGGGCACAAAUCCCUGUCACUCUUUGCCAUUCAUUGUAAGAGGAUGUUGAUCCAGCCAUGAACUGAAUGUCGAUCCAUUCUUGAAUAAGAGUGGGAAAAUUUUAAUAAACCACAGUUCAUUAAAAAUACUGACUCUCAUUACUAUGUUGGUGCUAUAAAGGUAUUAUCAAAUGAAAUAGUAACAAGAAACAUUAUUUCUCAUCAGAAUCAUUAGACUACAGAUUCUCUAGGCUUAGAUCAUAGAAUCAUAGGAUGAUUUGAGUUGAAAGAGACCUUAAAGACCAUCUUGUUUCAACCUUCUGCAAUGGCAAGGGACACCUUCCAGUAUAUCAGGUUACCCAAAGCCCCAUCCAGCCUAACCUUGAACACUCCCAGGGUUAAGGCAUUCACAGCCUCUGUAUGCAAACUGUUCCAGUGCCUCACCACCCUCAUAUUGAAGAAUUUCUUUCCAAUGUCUAAUCUAAAACUACUCUCCCUAGAUUAAAAGCUAUUCCCUCUUGUCCUAUCACUUAAUGCCUUUGUAAAGAGUUUCUCUCUGGCUUUCUUGUAGUCCCCUGUUUUAGAUACUGGAAUGUCAUUAUCAGGUCUCCCCCAAGCCUUUUUUUCUCCAGGAUGAACAGCCCCAGCUCUCACCCUGUCUAGAUUUGAAUCCAAACCAUGUUACUAAGUCCCUGCCUAGAGGAGAACAGAUUUAGAUUUUUUUUCCCCAGGAAAUUAAAAAGAUUAACAGAGUUUCAGUCAUAAAUCUAGCCUCAUACUUGGUAACAGAACUAUAGGAUAUGUUUAAAGUGUUCAGAUUCAGAAAACUUAACAUACUCUUAAGCAAACUCCCAUCUUUAAAAAUAGAGUAAAUCUUUAACUGAUAUCUUCAUAAAUCUCACAUGUUCAUAUUUGUGUUUUUAUUUGGGAUUGAAAACACUGAUGAAACCAUAUAGAGCUCUAACUGAAAAUUACCACUUACCUUUGGCAGCAGGACUGCAUCUGCAGACUAUGCUGAAAUGCUGAUGUACAUGUCCCUGACUCAUCCCAUUUAAAAAUAAUACUGAGGGUUCUGGCAGAUGUCUUGUAGCAGCUUCCAGUGGUUAUUACAAUAUAAAGGUGAGCAACUGCCUAAACACAGAACCCAAUUGCUGACAGCUGAUAGGAAUAAUUGUUGGAGCAAAUCUUUGAAUAGUGGGUCUUAGAAUAUAAACUGUCGUGCCCAAUUUCACUGACUGACAGUUUUUAGUAUUUGAGUAGGUAAAGCACUGUGAAAAUUCUUCACUUCAUAAGCAUUUUGAAAGUGAUUUUUGACAUAUAAACUUUUGGCAGCAAUUUUCAAGGGGGUCAUCUAAAAUGACUGAUACAGUAGUUAGUGUGAUGCAGGCAUAGCACAUUUAACAGUCACUGAGCUUCGAAUAUGACACAGUAUGAUCCUAAUUACAGCACUGCUAGCAAGGCAUAAAGAAGUAGCUCAUAGUGCUUGACAUGUAUUUUAUGACUAUGAAAAAAGAAAGACUUCAACUAGUAAAAUUAGGACAGAGCACAAAGCUUUGCUACAUUUUACAGAUAAGAAAAUGACAUUUACUGGCAUGAAAAAGAUGUUGAAAAGGGAAAAUAAGGUAAAUCCCAACUUGGGUUGUUUUUGGGGAUUCUGAGUUAUAUAUAUUCUAAAUUAUGUAUAAUCUAUAUGUCACAAAUGUCACAAAAUAUUUACAGCAUAUUGCAGUUUAGGUUUUCCUACAUGCUAAGAAAUAUGGAAGUUGAAGCAACAAGAUUUGGAUUCUGGGGCCAGCUCCCAUGCCAAAAUUCAGUGGUGUGAGGAAUUGCUUCUGUUAGGUGUUCUCUUAUUAUAGCAAUGGACAUUAUUUAUAUCAAGAGUGACCUUGGCUCUAUGGUUUUAAUUCUGUUCCACUGAUGGCUUUUCACUUGAACUGCUCAAUUCACAUGGACCUGAUGAGUCAUUUUUGUGAAUACUUUUACAGCUACAAAAUGGCUAAUUAAAUAGCUGUGUAAAAUUCUUCCUGGAAAUAUUCUUUCUGAAGGGAAUCUAGUGAGCUUUCUUACUGUGUUUUGUACACGUAUGCAAAGGGUGAGAUCCAGAAAAAUUACCUUUGGCAUAAGACCUACAGAAAAUAUUUCAGAUCUGACCUUCUUUUCCCUGAAAAACAUCCCAAUCAGUUUUCUGCACCAUUUCCCUAUUUUUUAAAAUUGAUAGCACAUUUUCUUAUGUGCAAUUAAAUUUUAAAGGAUAAAUAUUUGUUUAGAACAGAUUUUCAGUUGUUUUCUUUUUCUCCUCUUGAAUUUACUAUUCAAGCCUCUGUCUUCUAUUGUCAUUUUUUCUUCUUCACCUUUUAGAAAAAGAAACAUUUUACAUCCCAGAUUCAUGAAUCCUUCUGAGGCAUGAUGUUUUAAAGCUGGGCUGGUAGACCUGAAGUCAUGAUGAUCAGCAAAGUACAGGAACUGAGAGUCUGUGUUGAAGAAAGCCAUUGGAUCAAGACUUUCAGAGAUUGAACUGUCUUCGUAUUUAAAAAAGUGUCCACCUUAAAGCCAAGAUUAAGGUCUCGGGCAGGGCCGGAUUCAAAGGAUUCAGUGGAUACAUAUCAUUCUGGGCUGGUUGUGUGUUACAGAUAAAAGUUUAUUUGCCAUGAAGACAGUAGAUUUUUCUGGGCAGAACACACAGCCAGAAAAGAUGAGCAGAUAUUGAAUUUCCUUAUUGGUUUUGUUAGUUAAAAAAGAAAAUUGGAUUGGUUACACCCAUAUGGUAUUUUGCAUAACGUAUUUAUAAUGUAAUUAUAUUUAUUAAUGAUAUAUGAAUAUUGCUAUUAAGGUCCAUAUUUACAGAUUAAAAAAAAUCUUCAUUAAGUUAUCUUUCAAAGAAAAUCCCCAUGAAUAAUCUCAAAGUCAAAAAUGUGCCCAUGGAAACAAGUGAGAUAUUAUUUCACCCUUGUAUUUCUUCUCAUCCAUAUAUACACCUUUUCAAACAACAUGUGUCAUGUCUGCACUCAGCAGUGACGCGGAAACCAGAGGCUAAAAGCUCUGGAAUAAGAAACAGCCUGUGUUAGCAAAUAGCCCUGAAACUAGUACAAAGGGAGAGUGCUCCCAAAUGCAAACUUCUGCAUCAGAAUUGUGUGCUGCACCAUUAAUGGCCCUGAUCAGCAUUAACUGUGGCUCUGCUCUAAGGUGUAAACCUCAAAUGGCAAGGCAAACAAUGCCCUGAAGACUUCAUAACACUGAGAGGUCAACUGGUCAGCACAGCAAUAAAGGACACAUAGUAAGUUACAAAUACAGAGCAGUGAAACGUGACUGUGUUUCUUUUCGUCAGUCCUUUCCUUUACCAGAGGCAUCUAAAGGUAAUGCAAAAGCAAUUGAAAACAAAAUAAUCAAGAGAUCACUCUGGCAAUCUUGAGGUAAGAUCACUGUUUCCAAUUAUUUUCCUCACAGUAAAACUGGGACAAGGAGAGAGGGUUUGCAUAGGCUUUAUUUACCAGACCUGCUGUUCAAUACAGUCCUGGUGGAAGGAAUUAUUGCUAGCAGAGCAUAUCACAGCCACCCAGCUAAGUACACCUAUGCUGCAAGUUCAGUACAGACCAAAUCAAGGACUGAAGAAGAGCCAAGCUACCUUUUCUGAUGAGCUGUAUUUUAUGCUCCUCAACUGCAAUCUACUAGCUCCACAGUCCAAAUUCCAGUAUGUACCAACAUUAUCUGCCAAGUGCUAGAAAAGUUUAGAACAGCUGAGGAAAAGCUCAAACAGUGAACAGCACUAGGUAUUAGUUACACAAGCCUGAUAUUCCUUCAUUGCUGAGCACCAAAAGAUCCCAGUUGUUGGCAGCCAGAGUUUUUUAUUUCUUUUCAUAGAAAAUGGUUGACAGUAAUUCUACCUACAGCUAAGCUGCUUCAGGAAUAAGUACCAAAAGGAGAUGAAUGGCACACAGACUUCGAGCUGGAAGCUGAGGUGAGCUAUAUAGAACAGAAAGAAGAUAUUGAAGGUCAUGCUCUAUGGUUAUCAGUACGCUUUCUGAAUAGCAACACAGAAAUAGAAAAAAUCAUUUGAAAUCAAGAUUUCUUUAAAACAGGAAAGAGGAACAGUGAGGCACUUUUAUAUCUUGGUAUCACUCUAAUAAAUUCUACUGCAACAUACAAAAAGAAACAUUAAGAUGCAAUUCUACUUUGAAUGUAUGCAUAUAAUUGGCUCAAAUAUUAUCCAUAGUAAAACCAAGAGGAAACACUGACAUUAGUAUGACCAAUAUUUCAUACAGCAUGUGCUAAAUAGGUAACAUACUCACUUGACCAAAUAUGUAUGUGAAUAUUGUAACAUCACGGUGAAUUCUUGCAUAUUAAUCUUAUAUUGUUGAAUCCUUGCAUAUUAAUCUUAUAUUGUUAUCCUUCUAGGUUUUUUGUUUGUUUGUUUGUUUGUUUUUGUGGGUUUUCCUUUUGUGUUUUUGUUAGUUUUCUGUUCUUUUUUUAUUAUUAUUAUUCUUAAGAUCAUGCCAUUUCUCAUUACCAGAAAUUUGAAUACUCUUAUGAUUUCGAUUAAAAUCUUCUUAGAAGAAAUAAAUAGGAUGCAGUAGGCUGAAGAACUAUAGAAACUAGUGUUCAUUAUUUUUCUUGCUUUGUAUUCUGAUAAGGUGAUUGAAUGACCCCAAAGCUGAAAUGCCAUAAUUGGUUGACAAAAAGAGGCAAUAAUUAAGGAGUAUCUACCUCCCAUUUACCCAGGAAGGGGACAAAGAAUAUAUUCUUUUCUCAUAUGCAACAUGUCAAUGUCAUAUAUUUCAAAUAUCAGUUGUAUCUCUUUCAUUAGUAUUUAUACCUUUUUACAGCACUGAAUUCACUAGAAACCUAGAUCCUUUUAUUACCGUACUGCAGCUCUUAAAGUCUUACUUUUAUAUAUGCUCAGGUCCUUCAACAUUAUUAUAUUUCUGUUGCCGUAUUCCUUCCAUCCAGUAGACACAGGUGCAGUGUUUUUAAUCAGUGUUUACCAUUGCAGCACCCGUAAAAAAACCACUAAUUAUGCAUAUAAAAAUAUCUGAUUAAGAAUUACAGAAAACUUGUCUUUUACAAAACGUAAUUUUGUGAGUGAGUGAUUAAAGUGAAGAUAUUAUUAGCUGUGUGAGAAAAUAUUUAUAUUUCUAUUUCAUGUGAGUAUUCUCAUCCUAUUGUAAUUUCCAAAUGAUAAGGCAUAGGACUUCCAUUGCUGCCAUUAAUGAUUUACCUGUUUUAAACUGAAAAACUAUGACUGCUUCAUUUGUUAGAUUACAUAGGUGCAACAUCUGUGGCCAGUCUGUCUGCAUAAAUGAAAUAUAUUUUCUGAUAUUAUGUCAUAUUUUGCCUUCAUAACUGAAGCUGAAUGAAAGACAGAAAACGGCCCCAAUGCCUCCAAGCUUUGGAGCAUACAAACAGAUUGAGAAGGGUAUCAUCUGCACGUGUUACUGCAGCAGCCUUCUCUUUGUUUUCAAACUCAACUCGGAUUCAUUCCAAAAUAUCCAAGUCCAAACCUAAUUUCUGGCACGACCUGCAGGAUCAAAUAUGUCUCCUUGGCAUUCACUUGCUAUGAGAAAGCCUCAAAAGGACAAUGAAUGACAGCCAAACUGAUUAUCAGUUUCAGUGACUGAAGGUCAGCAAGUGUAACAUCUGCCUUGCUGGUGCUUGCCUACAUAUUCAUGUGCAACUUUCUGCUCAUCCAGAGGUCACAAAAACUCACAGAAUGAACAAGAUCCCAGAGGAUACCUCUGUUUCCUUAGACACAGUGACAGAUUUUUCUCUUACAUUUGGGUAAGGGAAUUUUUGGUAAAUAUGACUGACAGAAGUAGCUGCAUGGGUCAAAAUCACCCCUUGGAUAUUUUUAAAAUUUGAUUAUACAAAGAUCAGGAAGAGAAGAAUGGCCAACAAGGCACAGGAAUAUUUAUUCUAUCCUUUACAGUAUAUGCUGACUCAUUAAGCUAAGGAAAAAGUGCUGAUAUUUUCACAGAACCUUUCCCAUUGAACAAAAACAAACAAAUGAAAAAAAAAUGCUGUCUCAUCAUGUAAUGUAAAUUAAUAUAACUCUGAUUAACUUUGAGUAUCUGUCCAUCAGUCUAUAUAAAAUCACGUCUUCAGAAUGUCAGCCAUGCAGUUGGGUGAGUAAUGUCCAAAAUAAAUCUGAAAUGCUAUUGAAAGUGCACUGUUUCUUCUCCCACGAUAUAGGGGAGUGAUCUUGUCAUACCAUGAACAACUUUAAAAAAUGCUCAUGAAGUGCAAAUUAUUUUUUUAAUCAAAUAUUACACUAUUUGGAUGAGUCCAGUGCUAAAUUUUAAAUCCUGAAAGGAUAACUAAGGGUUCAGAGAUAACAACAUCUACAGAGGUCAGAUUCAUUGCUCUGGAAAUCUGGAACCUUGGGAGUUGUAGGAAUAAAAUCAUAGAAAGAAGGAAAGAAAGAAGGAAGGAAGGAAGGAAGGAAGGAAGGAAGGAAGGAAGGAAGGAAGGAAGGAAGGAAGGAAGGAAGGAAGGAAGGAAGGAAGGAAGGAAGGAAGGAAGGAAGGAAGGAAGGAAGGAAGGAAGGAAGGAAGGAAGGAAGGAAGGAAGGAAGGAAGGAAGGAAGGAAGGAAGGAACAACAGAAUUAGAUAUUUUUGCACCUGACACCCAUUAGAUUUAUGUUUUGAUCAUUUUAGUUUCAAAAAAUAUUUUUUUGUUUGUUUGUUUGGAACAACAUUCUGGAAGUUAUCUAAAGAAUACUCCCUUUCAUAAACCAAAUAGAAAUAACUCAGUGCAUCUGCCUCCAAGUAACCUCAAGUAAAUCAGUUGUCAUGAUACAGGAAACCAGAUGUGAAUUCCAACAUCGUAGCAGUGGAGCUGAAGUGGCUGAGGUGGAACUGCUCUCUAAUGGGUACAUUUUCCAUCAUACAGUUGCAAAACCGUUGCAUACUUGCACAGACUCCUCAGCACCCUAACAGUGACAAAUAUCACCAAGAAAGGUGACCAUUGCAAAGAGCAAAAAAGACUACGGGUUUCUUACUACAUGUAUUCUAACAGUCUUCAUCUUCCUAGAUCUAUUGUUCUCAUUUUUGUUUUUGUUUUCCCAUGUUUUCUCAGUAUUUAUACUAAACAACAAAACUAAGAAAAAAUGUUGAUCAUCAACACAGGAUAUAAAUGUUUAAGACUCUUGAUGUUUAUUCUACAAGCACUGAGACUAAGUCACACUUGUUAACUAAAAUUGAAUGUUUAACAGCUAGAAAAACUUCAUAUUUCAAUUUGACAUUUUAAGUGAAACACAGAAGUACAUGUAAGUGCAAUUAGAGUGUUAUAAAAAAAAAAAAAAAACACCUGUGAAAGGCAGAAACAAAAGAAGGCAUUAGUGUGUAAAGUAAUUCUAGUAGGUAGGUUGGAAAAAUUAGUUUCAUAACGAUGACUUAAUUCAACAUGUGCCUGAGGCAACAGCAAAAAAGGUUAAAUUUCCUUUCUCAAUCAAAUUUUAUAUUCUUGCAGAAGAUGUUAUUUCAUAUUCUUGUGUUAUAUUAAUUAAACACAACAGAACCAGGAGAUAUCAAGACCCGCUAUUAGUACAAGCUGGGGAAUGUAUGGAUGGAGUACAGCCCCUCCGAAAAAGACUUGGGAGUACUGGUGAAAGGAAAACCAGACAUAAGCUAGCAACUUGCUCUUGAAGCCCGGUAUGCCAACUGUAUGCUGGGCUGCAUCAAAAGAAAUGUGGCCAGCAGGUCAAGGGAGGUCAUCCUGCCCCUCUGCUCUACACUGGUGAGACCUCACCUGGAGCUCUGAAUCUAGAUGUGGAGUCCUCAGUACAGGAGAGACACAGAUCUGUUGGAGCAGGUCCAGAGAAGGAUCACAAAAAUAAUCCAAGGGAUGGAACACCCCCACUAUGAGGAUAGGCUGAGAGAGCUGGGACCGUUCAGCCUGGAGAAGAGAAGGCUCCAGGGAGACCUGAUAGCAGCCUUUCAGUACCUAAACGAGAAUUAUAAGAAAGGAGACAGACUAUUUAGCAAGGACUGUUGUGGUAGGACAAGGGGAAAUAGUUUCAAAGUAAAAGAGGGAAGAUUUAAUUUGGACAUAAGGAAGAAAUUUUUUACAAUAAGGUUGGUGAGGCACUCGCACAGGUUGCCUAGAGAGGCAGUGGAUGCCCUUUUCCUGGAGACAUCCAAGGUUGGGCUGGACAGGGCUCUGAGUAAUCUGAUCAAGUUGUAGGUGUCCCUGUUCAUUGCAGGGGAGUUGGACUGGGUGGCCUUUUAUUGUCCCUUCCAGCUCAAAUGGUUCCGUGAUUCUAUGAUUCUAUGAGACACCAGCACAAGGUUAUAUCUCCAUCUGCUGUAGACAGACCACGAAACUCAUUGCAAGAGAUAUUCAUUCCAUAAAAUCAGAGUAUGCAAAACAGAAUUUCUUUUCUUUCUUACCUCAGAUAAUUUCACUCAUAUACUGUACAUCUUCCAAAUGCUCUGACUGAUUUAAACUAUGAACUUAAUACAUUAAACACAGGUGUAGCUCUCCAUUCACAAUGUCCUUGCCACCAUCUGUGUUUUAAGAAAAUUUUAAUUCCAGGCGAAAACAUUUUUGUUCUUCAUUCACAGUAAAUUACUGUAUGAAUAGCAUGAGGGGUGUAUUCCUUUAACCCUUAUCCUUCAAAUAAAUUGAGUAGUUUUUAUUAAUUAUUAAAUACUAUUUGUUAUUAAUGAACAUUCUCUUGUCAUUGUCCUGGACUACACAGUGUUUAUUAGAGGAAAAAAAACCAAACAAACAAAAAAGAAGAACAAAAAAACCAAAACCAAAAACAAACCAACAACCGUCCCCCUCCCCCCCCCCCCCCCAAAAAAAAAACCUACCAUGAUUAACAUGGAUUUAUUUAUUAGGAUAAAUGGAUUUGUUUAUUAGGAUAAAUUCUAAUUAGACCUUAGAUGGCGUGUUCCACUGUUGUAACUGCAUAUAUAAACACAGCAUAAGAGAAAGACAUGUAACAUAAAUAAACUGAAGAAAACAAUUGCCAAGGAAAUUACCAAGUCUCAUUUGAGCACGCUUUUUGUUCUUAUCUAGCCAGAGCCUUGUUCACAUGCUUAACCUGAAACAUUUCAGAGGAACUAGAGAGGUAAAUGGAAAUACACACUUACAUGCUAACAACUCAUGACAGAUGUAGGAUAUGAUGCGAGACUGUGUCUUUGUAUCAGAGGAAUGUAUGUUGUGUCCUCUUCAGAUCUGACUGAAAACUAAUUGAUUUAGUUCUCAGGUUCAUUUCACUGAAUAACAUUUUCAGAAAUAUUGUCUAAUUUUGAUCUUAAGUUAACGUGUGUGAUGAAACACUUCUACUUUGAGCUAAAUAAUGUAUAAGAAAAAGUGACUCUAUGCUAAGUUUCCUAUUAAAUCUAGAAGUCUCUAGUUGAGUCAUUUAUGUGCAGUUCGUGAGGUCAAACAAUUUACUUUCUUAUGGUUAAUUAUAACUUUUGAGGGAAACUAAAAGGCCUUCAUAUUGUGUUUCUGCAAAUAAUUACCAUUAAUGUGAUUAAAUUCAUGUUUAAUACUUAUCUAAAUUAGCUCAUUAGCUUGUAUGGAUGUUUGAAAACCUCCAAAGACUGAAAAAUAUUCAGCUUUCAUUACAUUCUUGAUACUGAUCUCUCAGACUGUGGAUAUCAUAUUCAUUACUCUCUGUAUACAUAGUACUAUAUGGAAUAUCACUUGUUUCAUAGCAAUUAUUAUGCAAAUCCCAAGAUCUACUUGCUUGACACUCCCCAGUGACAAUGAAAUCUUGUUUGGCUUAAAUAAUCAUUUGGGAGCCAUUUACACUGUGACUGACUAUUACAGGUUGUAUAUAGUGGGAACUGUAUUUUCUUACAUUAGAAAGUAAUAUGAAAAAGAAAACAUCAACAGAACAAUAUUUCUGUUUCCCUGCGACUAAAAUACUGGUGCCUAGGUCCUUUUUUUCCUGGAGUUUAAGUUACUAGAUUAAAAGAAAAAAAGAAAAAGCAAUGCCAGAUUGGUCUCUAUUACUCUUGUUAAUGCUACCUAUAUUUCUUGUACUGGGAAGCUUUUCAUGGACUGAUUUCAAUUAUGCUACUCAAAGAGGUAAGCACUUCUCAUAAGAAGUACAUAGCUUUGUUCUUGUUAUCAUUCCUCUUCGCUAAAGAAAGUAGAAGAAAACAGUAAAUGAGAAAUCUUUCGAAGUAUUUUAAUUGAUAAAGCAACUUAUGUCUUACAGAAAACAGUAAAUGCAUAUUUAUACAUUGUUAUAUCAUUUAACUUUUUACAAAGAUGCAUAAAUAUAUACCUAUAUAACAUUACAAUGAUUGAAGAGAUGGAAAACAUUUUCUCUCAAUGCAACAACAUAGUUUUUUUAUUAACUAGAACUCUGAAUAAAAUCUGAUUUUUAUAAUCAGUAGGACCAAAAUCUCAGUUGUCUAUGAGAUUCAUCAUUAAUCCUGAUUUCUUUGGAGCAGUUAGAAUUUUAUUUUAUGUUCAGCUUUUGUAACUCCAUUUCCUGGAAUAUUGAGUACUAUUAAAAAAAAAAAAAAAAAAGUAAAACCUUAAAAUUAUAAGACUUCCUGGCAUUCAUUGAAACCACAAAUUGAGAUUCAAUUAAGUAAAUUCCUGCUGACAAAGCAUCACAACAGGUUAAUAGAGGAAAGCUUUUUGCUCUUACUUCUCCAUAGUCUCAAGAACAUUAACUCCAUUAAUUGUGCUAGAUUAAAACAUACCUGUAAAAAAUAUUCACCAUUCAGAACUGCUGACAUGUUAGUUUAUUAGAUAAGCCUGCAAACUUUUAGCUACAUAUUGUAUGCUCAUUCUCCUCACUAUUUCUAAGAAACAUUUAUUUCAUAAACAAAUUUACUAACUAGUAGACACAUUCUUAUAGUGAAAAGAAUAGUUAAAUCACUUCCUCUCUGCUACCAUUUGCUUCCAAAUUCCAAAAUAUUUUCUUCAGCAUAGAUAUUGUAGGUUGUAUUUUUAUUUAGUAGUGAAUCAUUUCCGACCUUAAAUAAUUAAAAAAGAAAAACAACAACAAAAAAAAAAACACAUGCACACAAAACAAGCAAACAAAAAAACCCAACCCACAACCAUAGUUAAACAAAACAGAUUCUGUGAUCUGGCACUCAUUAUCCUUCCAACCAUUGUAAUUCAAACAUCAUCCAUAUAAACAUAAAAAAAAAUCAACCAGUAUAUUAAUCAUCCAUCUGAAGCAAGCAAUUUGUCUUCCAUAUCUGUAAAUCUCAAAGCCAGGAUCUCUCCCCACUUUUGAUAAACCUUUCUGAAGUGGUCAGUAAAACCAAAGGUGUGUCGCCAGCACUUGACCUAAUUGAGUGGCUCCCCUCUGGCAAUCAGGAACACUCUCUUCUGCUGCUUUGAAAUGCCUCAAUUUAGAUGCAGGGGUUACUUCACGUGUUAGUGGAAUUCAUAGAACCAUAGAAUCACUCUCCACACAAUCCACAGGUUGGAAAAGACAUUAAAGACAAAUCCAACCAUGACCACCCCAUUCUACUCUAACAAACCUCUGCAAAAUCAUGUCUCUGAGCACCACAUCCAAAGAGUUUUUAAACACAUACAGGGAUGGUGACUCUACCACUUCCCUGGGGAGCCUAUUCCAAUGCUUAACAAGCCUUUCUGUAAAGAAGUUUUUCCUAAUAUCCAGCCUAAACUUAUCCUAGUGCAACUUAAGGCCAUUUCCCCUCAUCCUGUCACCUGUCAACAGUGAGAAGUGGCCAACCCUGCUCUCGCUGUAAACACCUUUCAGAUAUUGGAAGAGAGGAAUUAAGUCUCCCCUCAGCCUCCUCUUCCCCAGACUAAACAGCCCCAGUUCCUUCACUCGCUCCUCAUAGGGCACACAAGAAGAUUUAAAAAAAAAAAAUCAAUUUAGUUGAUUUUUUAUUCACACCAAUAAUUUCUUUUUCCCUCCUUUCAAUAUACAUUUUUAUAAAAUGUAAAGGCUAGAAUCUUCUGGUACUUCCCUGAAAAGGAAAAUUUCUAAUCUCAGAAGAAUGUUCCCAAGUAUUAUACCAUUCAUGGGACCCAAGUCUUUCCCUGAGAAUGGAGUCUAUCUGUAUUUUAUUUCGAGGUUUAAUUUUCAUUGUAGGCAGCUAGGCUAUGAUUUUUGCUUCCCCUCUUUUUGCUAUCUGUACAAUCAUGUGUAAAUUAGAAAUACUGCCGAUAUGUUAUUCUUCAAAUAAAUUAUUCCAAGCCAUUCCAUUUGUAUGGUUAUGUAGCCAGGAAAAUGCAUAAAUAAAAGUAAUGUAUUCCAUAAAGUCUAUAAAAUAUAUUGCUCUGACUCAGGGCUGCAGUUAUUUUUGGAUGCAAACAGAAAGACCUGUGUUUCACCCACACAUUGGUCAUGUUUCAUAAUGGCAAGCAAAAGCAUUAUAACACCACAACCCAAGCUCCAGGUGGGAGCCUUCCUCUGCCCUUACCUCCAACCAUAAGGCAUGUGUCCCCUGUGAUUCUCCUGCUGCAGGGGAUCCUGCAGCUCCCUGAGGUUGCCACCUGCUGUGGCUCAACAGGCUACAGACCAGAGUUUCCCACUGUCUCACUCCUUCAGCAUUUUUGCAAGAAGUAGCCUAAUCUUGAUCAUUUCUUGCCUAGAAUCCACUUGUGCCCUCACAUCUAAAUGCACCACACUGGCAAGACUCUGGGAAAGCAGAUUAUACGUUUAUUAGUGCAACACAAUUGAGGUUUCUGCUUCCUAGCCCUGUUUUUAAUCCAGCCCCAAAUCUUACUUCUCAAUCUAGAUCUCCCCAUCAUCUUCU
ensembl:lncRNA